rnacentral:rRNA from 1 species
UAGGGAAUCUUCGGCCAUGGGGGGAACCCUGACCGAGCAACGCCGCGUGAGUGAAGAAGGUUUUCGGAUGGUAAAGCUCUGUUGUUACGGAAGAACGAGUGGGAGAAUGGAAAGUUCAUACUGUGACGGUACUUAACCAGAAAGGGACGGCUAACUACGUGCCAGCAGCCGCGGUAAUACGUAGGUCCCGGGCGUUGUCCGGAUUUAUUGGGCGUAACGCGAGCGCAGGCGGUUGGAUAAGUCUGAAGUUAAAGGCAGUGGCUCAACCAUUGUAGGCUUUGGAAACUGUUUAACUUGAGUGGAGAAGGGGGGAGUGGAAUUGCAUGUGUGGCGGUGAAAUGCGUAGAUAUAUGGAAGAACACCAGUGGCGAAGGCGACUCGGUAGUCUGUAACUGACGCUGCGGCUCGGAAGGGUGGGUAGCAAACAGG